CGGGGAUCUGCUAAGAUGCAGGCGGAUAAAAUCCAUGGCAGAGCACCCCAUCCCGGCUGAGGGGGUUCCUCUGAGCAGGAAGUAAAGCCAGAUAUCAGCAGUCAAGGCAAUCCAUUUGGAGUAUGCCAAGCCCUCCUCUCCAACUGGCUGAUGGACGGGAUUGCUGCUUUUGUGAGCCCUGUGGAAGUAUUGCAGGACUCUGUGAUGAAGCCCUGAACCUUUCUGUUUAAAGGUGCCAUCGAGCUGGCCUUCGGCAGCCGACGAGGAG